rnacentral:rRNA from 1 species
ACCCGACCUCGGAUCAGACGUGAAUACCCGCUGAACUUAAGCAUAUCACUAAGCGGAGGAAAAGAAACUAACAAGGAUUCCCUUAGUAACGGCGAGUGAACAGGGAAAAGCCCAGCACCGAAGCCUGUGGCCGUUUGGUCACUAGGCAAUGUGGUGUUAAGGUCGUCCUUCGGGGAUGCUGCCUCAUUCCAAGUCCAUCAAUGAAUAUGGUUAUUCUGACUUGGCCCAUAGAGGGUGAAAGGCCCGUGGGGGUGAGGUUUCAGUUGCGUUAGCGUCUCCCCAGGUAGACCUUGGAGUCGGGUUGUUUGUGAUUGCAGCCCAAAGUGGGUGGUAAACUCCAUCUAAGGCUAAAUACUUGCACGAGUCCGAUAGCGAACAAGUACCGUGAGGGAAAGUUGAAAAGUACUUUGAAGAGAGAGUAAACAGUGCGUGAAACCGCUCAGAGGUAAACGGGUGGAGUUGAACUGCAAGCUUCGAGAAUUCAGCUGGUGAGUGUGGUUUGGGCUUGGCCAAAGUGAUUGGUUUUGCGAGUCUGCGGACAUGCAGGUCCUUACCUUUGGGUGGGGAUGUGCGAUGCACUUGUCAAGUGUUGCGCGCUCGUUAAAUUACUCGGAUCAACUUGCCAGUGCACUUUCUCGGAGUGUUCACCACGACCGGCGCUGCUGUCUGUCUGAUUUGGCUAAACCGGCCUUGCAUUGUCCUUGUGGCUUUGCUUGAUCGGGAUGGCAGGUUACUCGUUGGCUAGUGUGUUGGUUUCGACCGGCAUGCAAACGGCUUUCGGGUGUUAUCAGCUGGCUAAGUCAGUAUUGUGCAGUGCGUCGGAGACGGCGGCUUGAGGUGUGUGCGCUCGUGCCUGCUUGCUGACGGUUCUGGGUUAGAUUGCUUGGUUGCCUGUGUCUAAUAGGCCCGGUGAUAGCUCGGUUCCGUUUGGUUGGCGGUUGCGGAUGUGACAUAUACAAGGGCCUACAGUCUGUGGUGUAGUGGUAGACUAUCCACCCGACCCGUCUUGAAACACGGACCAAGGAGAGUAACAUGUGCGCAAGUCAUUGGGCGUUACGAAACCCAAAGGCGUAGUGAAAGUAAAGACCUGGCUUGUCCGGGUUGAGGUGAGAUCCUGUCGUUUCUCACGCGCGGUACUACCAAGCGUUCGAGCGGCGGGCGCAUCACCGGCCCGUCCCAUGGCGUGGACACGGUCUUCGGACUGUGCACCGUCGGGGCGGAGCAUGAGCGUACAUGUUGAGACCCGAAAGAUGGUGAACUAUGCUUGCGCAGGUUGAAGCCAGAGGAAACUCUGGUGGAGGACCGCAGCGAUUCUGACGUGCAAUCGAUCGUCAACGUGAGUAUAGGGGCGAAAGACUAAUCGAACCAUCUAGUAGC